rnacentral:rRNA from 1 species
AACGAACGCUGGCGGCAGGCUUAACACAUGCAAGUCGAGCGCCCUGCAAGGGGAGCGGCAGACGGGUGAGUAACGCGUGGGAAUCUACCCAUCUCUACGGAAUAACGCAUGGAAACGUGUGCUAAUAACGUAUACGUCCUUCGGGAGAAAGAUUUAUCGGAGAUGGAUGAGCCCGCGUUGGAUUAGCUAGUUGGUGGGGUAAAGGCCUACCAAGGCGACGAUCCAUAGCUGGUCUGAGAGGAUGAUCAGCCACACUGGGACUGAGACACGGCCCAGACUCCUACGGGAGGCAGCAGUGGGGAAUAUUGGACAAUGGGCGCAAGCCUGAUCCAGCCAUGCCGCGUGAGUGAUGAAGGCCCUAGGGUUGUAAAGCUCUUUCACCGGUGAAGAUAAUGACGGUAACCGGAGAAGAAGCCCCGGCUAACUUCGUGCCAGCAGCCGCCGUAACAC